rnacentral:rRNA from 1 species
UACGGAGGGUGCGAGCGUUUGUCCGGAAUCACUGGGCGUAAAGGGCGCGUAGGCGGCGCGGGCAGUCAACGGUGAAAGCUUGGGGCUCAACCCCCGAGUCGGCCGUCGAUACUCCCGUGCUUGAGCACUGUAGAGGCAGGUGGAAUUCCACGUGUAGCGGUGAAAUGCGUAGAGAUGUGGAGGAACACCAAUGGCGAAGGCAGCCUUCUGGGCCAACACUGACGCUCAUGCACGAAAGCGUGGGGAGCAAACAGG